UAAUAACAGCGCAUGGUUACUACACACCUUAAGAUUUUCUCGCGAUGCGAAAACCACAAUCACUGGCUCUCAUUCUCCUCGCGGCGGCGAAUAUAUGCACAGGCAGAAAACUCGCGGGAGAUGUAUUCUCUUUAUACCGCGAAGACAAUCGGAGUAUGUAUAACUAGCUCCUUCCCUCCAAGUCCCAGAGGUCGUCGGGCUAACGAGGCGGUCUAAGCGUGAAUAAAAGUUAAUUUUCACGAACGCUUUUAGCUACUGCAAAUUCAUUAGAAGAUGAUGUAUAACAGCAAUUAUCCAAAUUGGCCGCGG
rnacentral:misc_RNA from 1 species